UGGGGAAUUUUGGACAAUGGGGGAAACCCUGAUCCAGCCAUCCCGCGUGUGCGAUGAAGGCCUUCGGGUUGUAAAGCACUUUUGGCAGGAAAGAAACGUCAUGGGUUAAUACCCCGUGAAACUGACGGUACCUGCAGAAUAAGCACCGGCUAACUACGUGCCAGCAGCCGCGGUAAUACGUAGGGUGCAAGCGUUAAACGGAAUUACUGGGCGUAAAGCGUGCGCAGGCGGUUCGGAAAGAAAGAUGUGAAAUCCCAGAGCUCAACUUUGGAACUGCAUUUUUAACUACCGGGCUAGAGUGUGUCAGAGGGAGGUGGAAUUCCGCGUGUAGCAGUGAAAUGCGUAGAUAUGCGGAGGAACACCGAUGGCGAAGGCAGCCUCCUGGGAUAACACUGACGCUCAUGCACGAAAGCGUGGGGAGCAAACAGG
rnacentral:rRNA from 1 species